CUAGUGCGCGCGUGGCAGAAGAGAAGUUGGUGACUACCGAGCUCCGUCUCCGUUACUGACCGUUUUCUCGCCAUUGUACCUUGCUCUCAAUGGGCAAUUUAUUAAGUAUAUUUCGCCCCCGGUCCCGCCGCAGGCCCCUGCCUGGCCGUGUACCACGCGCUCCCAUAGCCCGGGAGGCGUCCCAGCCUGGCCCGGCUCCCCCUGUGGCGCCCACGCUUACCCCCGGCCCUUACGGAUUUCUCUUCAACGGUCAGCAGAGUCGGAAGCCUUCUCCAGGCAGCUUCUUCGGCGCCCCCAGGAGACCGCCAGACACGGGCGCCCCCGUGGCGGUCCCGCCUGCUGUGGACUGCAGGCUCCUCUUAAGGAGGAGAACCGUGUUGUCGGCUCGCAACUCCUUGGUGUUGAGACACCCCAGCUCUGUGAGGAUCCCUCCUCCCAGCAGCACGUUCACCCUCCGACCACAGGAGGAGGCGGUCGGGGCUAGGAAGCCGAUCCCGAUCCCAGCCAGGCUCCCGAAUCAGACCAAGAUGCAGAAUUGGGUGUUCUUUGCCUGGGCUUUUGCCCUGCCCACACCCAGCAGGCCCACGGCUCAAAAAGUGGGAAAAGGAACGAAGGCAACCAAGGCGAAGGAGGCAGAACCUCCGCAGCCAGCAAAGAAGAGGCACUGUCUCCCAGCAGUAAAAAUUCACGAAGAGUCUAGCGAGAUGAAGAAAGAUGCCAGGAAGAAGAGAAACACCAGGAAACAGAAGCCCACAGAAUCAUGAGAAGAUGGGGCCUGCUGGCAGAGCUGGGGCUUGGCCGUGGUCACUCUGGAGCCUGCCCUUCACGAGUGGUGGAAAGACAGCGAAAAUAUGAAGCCCACACAAGAAGCUCAAGCAGUAACAUAGCAAGAGGGAGGAAAAUUCAAAGGGAAGAGGCCCAUGGUCUUCUUUCUCAUUGUAACUUCUACUGUCAGGGAAGCCCCUUAUUUAUAAGGAACAUGACUGUGUUUAUCUCCCAAGUUCUCGCCCCCAGAUUAAAAUUUUCAGAAAGACUUAGGCCAUCAACAGUUAGAGGAGAAGUUGUGCUAAUGUGUGAGGGAUGCAUUUUGGCCAUUAAUUUGCGGUCCAGUAUUUUGUUUAUGUUAAUGAUUCAGUCUCAGAAAACAUUACAAGUUUCUGGUAUCCCAGCUACUCUUACCUGGGGAAAAGAGGAAGUUCUUUCAAUUGGAAAUUGUGUUCACCUGGCAUAAGGAAAAAGUUGGUAAAAUCCAAAGGAAUCCUGAGACUUAUUGAUAAAAUUGUGCUCAGUCCCUCUCUCCGGUCCCCUUAUGCCCACCAUGGUCCAUAGCUGCAGAGCAUCCCUCAGACGCCCCUUUAUCUAGUUCUGGUGACAAAACGUGAUCAGCUCGCAGCGGAUACCACCUUAAAUGCUGAUGUCCCUCUAAGUCACUAGGGGGAAAUCGGGGCCUGGAAACCAGAUUCACUUUAAUGGACAUCAAAUAUUUUGAGAAAGUGAGAAACUCAAGAAUGACAGCUCACAGCUGGCAGCUAGCCCAGAGGUUCCCAAGGAACAUCAGAGAUAUUCCCACAAUACAGAGAGGAAAGGUCAUGCUGUCCAUCUCUGAAAUAAGACAGUGACUAGGAGACUCAAUAGCUAUACAUUCCUCUUUUCUCCUAACAAAAAUGACAACUGCUUCUUUACCAACGACUUCAUUUUAAUCUCCCUGGCUCCUAAAUAAAAAUUAUUAAGAUAACCAAUCAUUAGUUGCACCCACUUCCAGGCAAUAUCCAAUCCAGACCAGUCCUCUCUUCCUCAAACCCUCUUUAGACUGGCCAAGGACAAUUCCAUGGUUCCUUUGCAGUGCAAUUCCCCUGCACAAUAAAUUGAACUUCUUUUUCUUACAGAUGUGCAUGUGAUUGUCUUUGUCUCAUGAGCUUUAACUCGCUGUGGGCAUGUGUUGCUUUGGAGCAGCCCAGCAUUGAGUUCCACUUCUGAAAAAUGCCUUGACAUCCCUUAAAGAGUUGGAUGCCAGUCUAGAAGGAUUCGUAUCUGGGCCUCUUCUAGUCCAAGAAAGCGUGCAGAUGCACAGCUGUCAUCUGAACAGUGGUACUCACUCUCCACCUGAAUGGAGGAGCUCAUUCUGCAUCAGGGUGGGUGAAAAUGCCUUGGUUUGAUCCACUCCCGGGGCUGGGGCAGGGACUUUCAGGCCCCUGGAAUGUUGUUUCCAUCAUUUUAUUAACCUGGAAAAUACGUCCUUUUAUUCUGAUUGUGUGGUCACCAGCAACCGCUGAUUUUUAAUAUGGGCUCUCAUGCACUCUGAUAAGAGGGUCCCUGAUGAUCAGGCACCAACUCCUUGUCACUGAGAAACAAGGGCUCCUGUUUGUCAACGAAUGCCUUGACAUUGAGCUUUAUCCCACAAGGGGGAGUUGGUUAACAGGAGGUGGUUACUCUGUGCAGAACAAUAUGUGUGUUCUGACAAAAUCAAAUCACCAGCUCUGCAAACCCACAGAUCUCACAGGCUGGGUUUGAGCCACUAAAGAAUGCUGCCUCCAUCACUGCUGGCUGCCCUCCAUGGUAUUUCUAUCUGUGACAACUGCCACCAGCUACGUCCACUGGACGUCAACAUCCCAAACAGACACUAAGCUUUGUGCAGAGUCUUUGCUCAAAUGUUCUUUAUACUUGGGUGACUUGAUCCAAAGGGACUUCAGGAUAAUACACGGAGAACAGGAAAGAUUAUGCUAUGGUUCACCUCUUCCUUUUGUCAAGGCGACAAGCUCUGGUGCCCACUUAUGUCUGGACUGGGCCCUGCUGUCAUGUUUGAGGGUAGAAAGCAGGCUCUGUCUGUGCCUGGGAAUCCUGGAGUUAGUUCCCAGAGUCAAAGCACCUCCCAUUGCCUUUAGAACUGCUCAGAAUGUUCUUGGAAAUAUUUUACUUGUACUCAAGAGCAUUUGUUUUUGAAAUUGGGUCUGGUAUACUAGUUAAAGCACAGAGUGCCAGAGUGUGACACCUGACACCAGCGGUCACUAGCUUGACCUUAGGCAACUCACCCUCUCUGUGCCUCCCUUUCCCCAUCUGAAAAUAUAAAUAAUGGUAAGACUUACCUCACAGGGCUGCUGUCAUGUUUAAAUGCAUUAAUAGAUGUAAAUUCCCUAGGACAGGUACCUACAUUCCUUCAACUCAUUAAGAAUUAUGUGUUAGCUGUUAUUCUAUAAUUGCCCGAGAGUAAUAUGUGUAAGCCAUAGAUUUCUCAGGGUUUUCUGGCUUCUUUGAAAAUAAAGGGAAACUGUGGCAUUGGGAAAUUGGCACAGCAAUGGGUCUUGGUCUAAUGGGUUUAUAGGUGAAAAGAUUCUAUUUGAAAAGUUUCUCGAUUUCCAUACGGUAAACGCUGUUUUGUUAGUUAACUGUUCCAUUUUGAAAUUUGCAACCCCCCUCUCUCCACAUAUAUAAACUGACAUGUGAACUCCACAAAGGCUGCCAUGUGUCAACGCUGUAUCUCCACUGCCUGAAAUGGUGCUUUGGGACACAGUACCUGCCCAGUAACAUCUGUACAUCUAAAUUAAAUUUAAAUACUGACCUUUCAUCUAAGUGAACACAAGAGGUUUUGAAGUGGUCAUUGGUCAACAUUAUCUGAGUUUUCACAAGACCUCAGUAUACUUGGCAAAGCAUUUCACAAGUGAUAGACAAGGCAUCCACUUUAAAAGCAAAAUUCACAGAGCGUUCUACUGGAUGGGGCUGCUCUAAAGAAUUCAUGCUUCUGUCUGGAAACUCGCAGUGUGGCGAUUCUUAAAUCAUGGAGUUCUCAAAAGCCAAAGAGAUUGAGUGCAUUUUUGAAAAAUGAACUCGAGGACACGGCCUGAGUUGAUGCAACCGGCUCUGCAGGACACUCCUACCCCCGGUGCCCUCACUAGAAAAGAGGCCCUUCAUGGUUUCUCAUGAUGGUGCUAGCUCCCAAAACCAGGCUUCCAGGCUCUCUGACCCCCAAAACAAGUAUUAGGAAUGACCAGGAAAUCACCUCAGGGGACUCGCACUGAAGCACAGAGGCCCAUCAAGUCCCCAAGCCCAGAUGCUGCCAUAUUCUGUACAUACCGGGUCAGGCAUGAAGAGGUCCACCCCUUGCCCUGUGGAGAGCGCCACCAGGGUUGUGCCACCCUCUAGGGCAUAAUCCGUGGCCACAUUGUUGUGGCCAGGCUGCAGGGUGUCCCUUUCAGAAGGCUUAUCCUCUGAGGUCUGUGGAAGAGAGGAGAGAAAUAUCGUAUGUUAUUUUCUUAGGAGAGAACCCUUAGUCAGAGGCCUGGGAUUCAGAUAUCCUUGAACCACUGAAGGAAGUGCAGUUCUUAGAAUUUUAAGCUGCCACAAAUCUAUCCAGAGGAAAUGAGUUGCUAUGUUACUGACAAUUCUAGCUGAGCCAUGGCAAAGGCCAUUUUGGGACUUCUUCCUUCAUAUUUUCCAAACGCAUGUGUCUGCAGCCUGCCAAGAAAAGCACUCCCAGAUAAAAUCACAGCCCUUCUUCGUCAUAAGCCGCACUCCUGAGUCAGUAUAGUCACACCUCACGUAUCACUGAGCUGAGGGUGCAGCGUCUUAUUCUGCACACUCAACAUCCUCUGAAGUAUGUAGGACUGUCACCUCCGUGGCUUAGAGGGAGAACUCUGAGAACAAAACAACCUGAAAUUAGCAAUCUGCAGCUGGAGCAGCUGCACAACUCACUCAGCAGCAGGAAGCCCUGACUCUGGCUUUCUCUCUGACUCUGUGGAUGCUCCUCAUUUGUUUCUCUUCCCCACAGCUCCUCUUCCUCUGGUUCUUUAAAUCUCGGUGUUCUUCCUAGUUUUUACUGUAGCCCUUGGUGCAUCCAGCCAGUACAAAUGGUUCUUCCUCGUCUCCUUCUUCAAAAUUAGGACUCUUGGCUGCUAUGUUUAUAUUGAUUCAUGCCACCACCCACCACACACACACACACUCUUGAUGGCAUAGGAGAUAGAGUCCUGACCCAGAGUGACCCAAUCAGCCUCUCUCCUCCAGAAAUGUAGAAUUAGAGGACAUUCUGGUGAUGUAGAGUUAGAAGCCUUAUAAACCCGAAUGGUUUUACUGUCCAUGCUCUGACCUCAUGGUUUGGUCUUCCAGGUGCUUGAUGCAAUGAGCGCUCAGUGGCUUCUUUGAAGUCCCCAACACAUUUUCAUUCAUGGAUUUAGUGUCUGACUUCCCAGCUAUACUGUAAGCAACCUGAGGGAGAUAGCCACUCCGUCUUAUUUGUAACACAAUCUGGGCCAUGUUUGUUACAUUCAAUUAACACAUACACACACACAGAUUCAUAUAUAUGUAAGUUUACACGCACACAUAAAU